AUUGAACGCUGGCGGCAUGCCUUACACAUGCAAGUCGAACGGCAGCACGGGUGCUUGCACCUGGUGGCGAGUGGCGAACGGGUGAGUAAUACAUCGGAACGUACCUUUUCGUGGGGGAUAACGCAGCGAAAGCUGUGCUAAUACCGCAUACGCCCUGAGGGGGAAAGCGGGGGAUCGCAAGACCUCGCGCGAUUAGAGCGGCCGAUGCCUGAUUAGCUAGUUGGUGGGGUAAAAGCCCACCAAGGCGACGAUCAGUAGCUGGUCUGAGAGGACGAUCAGCCACAGUGGGACUGAGACACGGCCCAGACUCCUACGGGAGGCAGCAGUGGGGAAUUUUGGACAAUGGGGGCAACCCUGAUCCAGCAAUGCCGCGUGAGUGAAGAAGGCCUUCGGGUUGUAAAGCUCUUUUGUCAGGGAAGAAACACCGGCUCUAACACAGUCCGGGAAUGACGGUACCUGAAGAAUAAGCACCGGCUAACUACGUGCCAGCCGCCGCCGUAA
rnacentral:rRNA from 1 species